rnacentral:lncRNA from 1 species
AGGCUACAACAAUCAUGAGUGCUCAUAAGUUCUGAGCAUUGGACUCAACCCACGCUCACUGGAAUCACUUCAUGGAAUUCUAUCUCGAGUGAUCGUGAGACGGUAAUAUCAUAUAAGUCUUCAAACCUAGAGAUAUGAUUUGUUACUUACAAGUUGGUUAUGCAUUGACUGUACGAAACCGCAUUGGUAACUCGAUGUUAUAAAACGUACUUUUGUGUGUAAUUCAAUGAGUGGUAGAACAAACAUAUGAGUCGAAGUUUAUCUGUUCCUUCUUGGAUUAGAAGCUGAUAUCUGGGCCCCUCGAUGAUUUUGUUUUGACCCAUGUACCGGGCCCGGUCAGAACUAAGUUGAUGUGUUCAAUUAAGUUCUAUGUCAAACAAAUCGGAAAUCGGGAAACAAAUGCUGGACAAUAAGCAAGACAAUGUUCCAUGUAUUUGUCCGGCUGAUAUCUAGAACGGAGGAUUAUAUGAUCACUUAUCUUAAAUGGCGUACCAUCAUCUUCUCAGUUCCGAGAGACCUUGAAAGAGCUACGAUUGCCGGUCGGUUCCUGAAGUACUAGAGAUAUAGUUAUUAGACUUAUCCAAGUGGGAGACUGUUGGAUAAGGUGUCUAAGUCCAUAACUAUUUCGGGCUUGUACUUGACCCGACCCGGCAUGGUCCAUUUGGGUUGCAUGGCACCAUGCAAUUGGAUAGACUAAAUGAGAGAAAUAACACUUGGAGAUUAUUAAUAUAUUAUAAGUUCUAAUAUAUUAAUAAUAUUAUUUGAUUAGUUGAUCAAAGAAUUAAUUUGGAAUUAAUUAAGUGAUCAAAGGAUAACUAAUUAAAUAUAUGGGUUGAUUAUGUAAAUCAUCCAUAUCUUGUAUAGUGGGCUAAGAGGCUCCAUGGAUUAUCAAGUUGGGUUCUACCCAUAGGAUGCUCCAUGGAUGCUCCAUGGGAGUUACAAACCCAUGGGUCAUGGAAAUGAAGAGUCAUGACACAUUAGGGUUUACAUGGUGUAACCCUAGAUGUGUCAACACUAUAUAAGAAUCAUAUUCUCCACCAAAAUCGGCUACACUAAGAAACUAGAGGGCUUGGCCGAUUUUGAGAAGUGUGUGUUAUCUCAAGAGUCUUUCCAAGAGCAUUUGGUGUUGUGUGAAGCAUUUGAGGCAUCACACUUGGGGUGCUAGGCUCACAAGGUUUCAAGGAACACAAGCAACAACAAGGUAAGUUAUUCUAUCUAUGAUUCAAGUUAAAAUUGUUCCCCAUGUAUGCUAGAUAGGAAUAUAACCUUGGAAUUCAACUUUGCAUGAUAAUUAGACAAACAUAGAUCCAAGGUUAUUAGGGUUGCAUGUACACUUAGGAAGUGUUAGAAUGCUCAAAACCUAUCAAGAAGGUACCGACAAGCGGAUAUUUGUUUGUUAUUUGUGCUUAAAAGUUGAAGAAAGUCGAAAAUCUUGCUGUCUGACUGAUGGACUCGGCGAGUCCAUGGGGAGGACUCGACGAGUUCAUGUGUAUCUUCAACCUACUCGGCGAGUAGGUUUAUGCACUCGGCGAGUAGGGUCGACAGAGUGCAGAAUUUCGACUUGUGUUGCUGGAAAUGGAUUAGAANUCAAAAAAAUCCAAAAAUAUUUUUGUUUCUGUUUUUAUUUUUCCAGAAAAUAUCAAAAAUCCAAAAAUAUUUUUUUUGUGUGCUAAUUUUUCUUUUAGUUUUGUUUUAUCUUCAAAAGUGAUUUCAGGUGUAGAUGAGACUCGUGGAGACUGUAUUGAAGAUUUUCUUAGCCAAGGCUUCAUCCGUGAGCAUCGGAGAAUUUUCAUUCGAAGGAGCAAGAAAUGAAGACUAUUCUUCCAUCAUUCAAUCUUUCAACCUCAGAAGCAAGGUGAAGCUGUUCUUGAAGAUUAUGUGACAGAUUGCAUUGAAGCCUCCUCAAUCAAUUUGCUGCUAUCUAUGAACCUACUGAAGUGAUCCAAAAGAUUAUUUCUCUUUGAUGUUCUCCCUGAAGAUUCUCAAGCUGAAAGAGUUGUCUUUCAAGAAUCUUUUCAAGAAGCCUCCUCACCCAACAUGCGUUCAAUGUCAAAUUUUGAAGAAAAACCCAACCGCUCAAGAUGAAUUCAUUUAUUGAAGAUUCAUAUGUUCAUCUUGAUGCUGUGAAGAAAUUUGAAGAUUAAUGCUGAAGCCAAGCUCCCAAUGAAGAUUAACAAGAAAAAGCCAGCUACUUUUUAGAGGGGGUUUGUUGGGUCAUUUAGAAAAGAAAGCUAUAAACCAAGGGGGAGAUUGUUGGGUCAAAAUAUGGUUUAUACUUUGCUUUUCUAGGAAAAUAUAUUUUUAUGUAAUGUUGUAUGUGUUUGCGGUUUGUGUGUACGGCCGUACACAUUUGUACGGCCGCACACCCUGUGUACGGCCGGACACAGGGUGUGCGGCUGUACAGAUGUGUAUGGCUGGAGGUCCAUAUAAAUAGAGGAGUGCAUGUGGGAGUGUACGGUUGGAAAAAGAGGAAUAAGUAGAGGAGAAGAGAAAAACUUGUAGAGAGAGAAAGCUAGAGAGAAGAAGUGUGUGUGUGAGAGAAUCUAUUGUAAGGAGCAUAAUUCAUAUCAUCAAUACAUCAUUAGAUUCAUCUUAAUUCUUUUUCUCCUCUUCUAUUUGAUCUGAUAUCAUCCAAUUGAUUGGGAUUCCGCACCAUCAAUUGGAACUGAUUGAUACACAAGCAAUUUUGGGGACUUACUAUAUAUAUAUAUAUAUAUAUAUAUAUAUAUAUAUAUAUAUAUAUAUAUAUAUAUAUAUAUAUAUACACACACACACACAUUAUAUGUGUGUGCGCAUUUGUGUGCAUAUGAACAAAGAAUUCAAUGAAUUGUGGUGUUAGAUGAUAUCUUAUUAAAUAGGAAUAAAGAAUGCAUUUAUAAUUAUUAAUUACUUAUCAGAAGUAGUUGGGGAUUGAUAAUUAAUUUUUGGUAAGUCCAUGAGAAGACGCGUUCUUAAUUUUAUUUAUAUUUAUUGACAAGUGUUAAAAACAAGAGGGUAGGUAUUCAUGAAUGGGGAUGGUGAGAUAGAAGUGAUGAUAUAUUAAGAUCCAUGCAUGAGAUUUGUUUGCUUUUCCCCAUUUUGACCUAAGUUGAGCUAUAAGUUUGCAUAAGGCAUGCAUCACUAAAAUGUUGGAUUAGUGUCUAAGUCCAUAAUUAUAAUUGGUAUGUACUUGACCCGAUUGGCAUGGUCCAUUUGGGUUGCAUGGCAUCGGAACAAUUUGGAUAGACUUUUGUGAAAAAAGGAUAAUUAUGAUUUGUUAAUAUAUUAUAAGUUCUAAUAUAUUAAUAUGAAAUCACAUUAUUUUAUUAGUAUUGAUCAAGAAUUAAUUUGGAAUUAAUAUUGUCAUCAAAAGGAGACUAGUUAUAGAGAAAAGAUAGAUCUAAGGUAUUUAGGGUUGCAUGUACACCAUAUGAGUGUUAGAAUGCUCAAAACCCUUCAGUGGUAUCAGAGCCUAGGCUUGUUUUCAUUUAUACUUGAUGCAAACUUAUUUUUCAAAACCAAAAUCUGCACAGACUGGAAAACUCGACGAGUUCUGGCCAAAAACUCGCCGAGUUCAUGUGUUAAGGCAUGAAUUCGACGAGUUCCUUGAAGAACUCGGCGAGUUAAGCUUCCAGUUUGCAGAUUUUCAUGUUUUUUUUUGCUGGAAUUGGACUAGGUACAUUACCCUAAGCUGUUUUUGAACUUGUAAACCUAUUUUUGAUGUGGUAAUGUUCAUGCUAAUCCAAUUUCAUAUAUAAUUGUCAAUAGAUUCAUGUUUUGUAUUAGUUUAAUGGUUAGGCUAAUUACAUGAAAAGUGUUUGAUUUGAAUUAUCUUGUUCUUAUGAGUUGAUUUAGAUUAAUAGAAAAGUUAUGUGAUAAUAUGUUUUCAAUCCAAAUUGAUCUAAAAGUUGUUCAUAAAAUGUGUUUUUGUAACUUGUCCUCAAGUAAUAUGAAAAGUCACAUUUAUGAUUAUUAAAACUCAUAAGAUUUCCAUAAGUUAUGAAAAAUGGAGAGUCUCAUUUUUAAAUGUUAUAAAGUCUUCCAUAACUUGUGCUCAAGUUAUGGAACUUGAAGAGAUUUUCAUUGAAANUAUAUAUAUAUGUAUGUAUAAGAACAAAGUCAGUCUUACCGUUAGUAGGCCUCAUUCACGAAGCCUAUCUAUAAGAGGGGUAUAAGGUUACUGCCUAUAAAACGGCAGUUUAAUGGUCGUUAGCCGAACGGGUAGGACAAGUACCAGAAUGCUCCCUUCAUUAAAAGUAUUAAUGAUAAAUACUAAGUAACUAAACUAUUAUAAAUUCCCAAUCUGAGUUAGAACAAAGUCAGUCUUACCGUUAGUAGGCCUCAUUCACGAAGCCUAUCUAUAAGAGGGGUAUAAGGUUACUGCCUAUAAAACGGCAGUUUAAUGGUCGUUAGCCGAACGGGUAGGACAAGUACCAGAAUGCUCCCUUCAUUAAAAGUAUUAAUGAUAAAUACUAAGUAACUAAACUAUUAUAAAUUCCCAAUCUGAGUUACUUUAGGAAAAUGUGAAUUUGGUGCUAACCCAUGAAAUUACACUUUGCACUUUGCUUAAGUCAGUUAGUGGAGCGUGUGUCUGGCACACUAGCUUCAUUUAACAAGGUAUACAAAGGGUAACUUAAUGUUUAUCAUAGUAUCGGUGGAGCGUGUCUGGUUAUCCGACACACCGAUUGAGGGGUAAAUAUUAAGGGUACCAAGUAUAUUAGCAUGGUUAUUCACACCUUGUUUUGUGAUCCUCGGCAUCCGAGUCACAAAAUUUUAGAGGCCACAAUCGAUGAUUCUUCUCACUAUAUUACUUGCCUUCACCAUCUGAGGACAUUGUGUUUUAGCUACUAUUUGCGAGGUGAGUCUUCUCACACUAUUACUUUUUUAGUAGUGUAUGCAAGUUGACCAAAUGAGUCUUGCUUGUUGAUAUGUUUUAUGUAACUGUGUUGCUGAUAUUUCUUCAACAGCUAUGAGUCCAUGUGACUGCUGUUAGUCCCCAAGGUUGCUGAUAACCCUGAAAUGUGUUGUCAAUCCACAUGGUUGCUGAUAACCCAUAAUUGUUUAUUUUGUUGAGCUAUAUGUGAUAUUUUGGGAGCUCACUAAGCUACAUGGUUACAGAUAUGGAUUAAAUGUGUUUCAGGUACUUCAGAUGAUCGUAGGAAGGCGAAGGCUUGACUGUACACUCUGGCUUGAAGAUUUUAUUACUUUCUGCAUUUUAAUACUCUUAUUUAGGACGAUUGUAUUUGAUUCACUUGGGAUUUUUAAAAUAUUUGACGUUUCCACUAUUUAAAAAUGAAAUUUUUUGUGAUAAAAAUCAGCGUGUUACAAUGGGGUUACUAAUUACUGAUGAAACAAUUACAAGCCUAAAUCAAUAUUUUGUAGAUUUAUCAUGGUUAGAAGGAGAUUAGAAAACGACAAAACUGAUUCAAAUUCAACAUCUAAGCUUUGUUGGAAGACUAUAGAUGAUAAUUUAGAACUUUUGUUGGAAAACCUUUUAUGAUAAUUGUGUUUGGGAGUUCCCUUGUUGGCUUCUUGGAGAAGGUAGGUAUUUCUUACUAUUUGUGGUGGGAAAAGCUAAAAAGUCAAUAUGUUAGAGGGGUAUAAAGGUAAAUUUAUGUUUAAAAGGCCAAUAAUCCAAUAUAUGAGUUUUUAAAUGUGGAGUAUGUAUAUGGAGGGAAUGAAAAUUUUGGAAAAAUUUGAUUCCCUUUAUAUUUUGGGACUUGGAGGAAAUUAAAAUAUUAUUAUUUAUAAUUAGUAUUUUCGUCAAGAAAUAUGUGACUUUUUUAAACUCACUUUUUCCCCUUGCAUAAAAAGAGAUUUCUAAAGUACCCAAACACUUUCUUAACUUAUUGGCUUUUUUAAAAGCUCAGAAAUUAAUUGAAGGGUUUUGUUGCAUAAAAUAAAUAGUUUUGCACAAAAACGGCAACGGAAGCUUUAAAAACAAUUUCCAAGUGUGACAACCAAACAAACCAUCAAGGAUCCUUUUAAAUAGGUUAGAAUUAUAUUAGAACGACCAUAGGGUGUUUAGAAAUAACAAACUUUGUAGCCUUUAGACCCUCUUAGAUUUGAGGUGUUGAAGUAGAUGGCAAGAACAAGAAGCUUGAUCUUCUGUACAAGUAAUCCACCAACAAGAAUAAGGUACCAAAAUUGCUAGAUUUCUUCUUUUACAACUUUGUUCUUUAAACCUUUAGUGCUUAAUCAAUUAAGCACUAGAAGGAAGACACAAAGUAAACACUAAAAGCAAGUAAUGUCUUCAAAAGAGGAAAGAGCUUCAAGCUCUUAGAUGCUCACAAUUUUGAGAGAAAGGAAGAAUAAGUUUUUAGGCCAAAAAACUUGCAUUCUCUCCAUGUAUAAGACCCUCAAUUUAUAACCCCAUCCAAGCAUGGCCUCUUGAAUAUAAUAUUCAAAAUUAUGGGAUAUAAAGGAGAGGCAUGGGGAACAUUAUGAUAGACGUUGACAAGCAACCUCCAUACUCUUACAACUUUCGGCCAUAUGGCCUAAAAUAUAUAAAUAAUGUUCACUAGUCUUUUAACCAUGGUAGAGUAAGCAUUUGAUUUAAUCAUGGUUAACCAAAGUGUCCAAAACUUUGUACAUGACUUAUUAUAUGAUACCUUAUCAUAUAAAGACUAUUUUUCCUACUUAUUAAAAUAUUUUUUUUUCAUAGAACAAUAAUUUUUCUCUAAUUAAAUACAAGAGUUGAAUUUAUUUAUUAAUAAAAAAUUACUUAAUAAUAUUCAAUAAGUACCAACUUGAUUAAGGUGUGACCCUAUAGGAUCAUAUGUUAUUAGCAACAUCACUCAAUAAUGAUUCUUGAGCAUAGAAAUACAACAUUAAUAAGUCCAUUUAAAGAAGCACUUUCAAGUUCUGUUUUUAAUAUUUAAGACCGAAAACUUUAAUCUAUUUCCAAUCUACAUAACAACGACUGAUGGAUAAAAUAUAUCUCAAAAGAUGGCCAUGAUAUUCAUUAAGAAAAUGAAAUUUUGAUAUAAUUCCAUUUAAAGAAGCACUCCCAAGUUCUGUUUUUAACAUUUAAGAGCCAAAACUUUAUUAUAUUUCCAUUCUACAUAACAACGACUGAUGGACAAAACAUAUCUCAAAAUAUGGUCAUGAUAUUCAUUAUGAAAACGAAUAAUGAUAAAUAAAAUUACAUUUCAUACAAAAAAGGUACACAAAAUACAUCUUCAUUACAUCAUCAAAGUAAAAUUACUACAUUCACAUAUGAUAUAUUGGAUGGGUUUUGAGCAUAACAACAAUUCCUAAGUGUGCAUGCAACGCUAAUGCUUUGAAUCUAGCUUUUCUUUAAUCAAACAUGCAAACUUGAACACAAAAGGAGAAACCCUAGGAAGUGUAUACAAUUUUUUAAAUUCACAUAGAACUAGGCUUAGGUUACAUACCUUGAUUGUUAUAUUGUAAUAACAAUGAAUCCCUUGUAGAUCUUGAAGCUUGAGAACCUAGUGUUACAAGUGUAACACCUCUAAUGGCUCAGAAACACACAAUGCAAGAGAAUGAUAUGAGAGAGGAGGAGGUGAUCAAAUUUUUGGCUAUGGCUUCUUCCAAAGAGUGGCCGAAAAUCAUAGCCCUAAGGGUUCUUUACAUAGUACACCAAGGAUGCUAUGGAUUAGCCCUAAUUUUAAAAAUGGUAAUUAUCCACCUCCUUUAAUUAUCCAUAUAUGAUAAGAUAUUCAAGAAAGUCUAGAAUAAUCUUACAUAUAUCAUCAUAAAACUGUCCACUCUUCCUUAGGAAAGUUAUGGACCCUUUUGCUCAACUGUUGAAUAUUUACAUUUGUAGUCCCUACACUAUUAAUUAAUUCCUUUAAUCCCAAAAUCAAUUCCAACUUAAUUUCUCAUUAAAUAUUAGCUAAUAACAUGAUUACUAAUUAAUAUAUUAUUUCCAUAACAUAUUAAUAAAUCAUUAAUUCCAAUUUAGUAAUCAAAUUAAUAAAUUCUUUCUCUUCCUUAAUUAAUCAUCCUGUCUAGUUACAUAUGUAAAGGCAACCCAAAAGGACCAUGCCACUAUCAAUUUAAGUACAUAACAAUUAUAGUUAUGGUCUUAGACACCUAAUCCAACAGUCUCCCACAUGGAUAAGUCUAAUAACUAUAAUUGCAAAUAUGACUUCAAAAACUGAUAAGCAAUCGUGGCUCUCAUAACUUUUAUCAAACUAUGACCAAGUCAGUUGCGACUCCUAAGAUAAGGGAUCAUAUAAUCCUCCGUUCUGCAAUUUAUCAUGUGAACAAAUGACAUGGAACAAAAUUAUUCUCAUUUUUCAACAGUUUGUUUCCCGAUUUCUGAUUUGUAAUGACAAAGAACUUAAUUGAAAACAUCAAUUCAGUCUUGACCGGGCCCGACACAUAAGUCAACACCAAAUCAUAGGGGGGCCCAAGAUAUCGCUUUUCCCCCUAAGGGAAAAAGGAACAUAUUAACUUUAACUUAUAUGCUUGCACUAUUUACUCAUCAAAAUAUGCACAACAACACAUUUUAUAACACCAAGUUACUGAUGUGUUUACGCAUUAUUAAUGCACAACCAUCUCGUAAACAACAACUCGUAUAUCUCGGUUUAAAGAUUAUAUGAUAUUAUCGUCUCAGAAUUACUUGUGAUAAAUUCCAUGAAGUAAUUAACUGAGCAUGGGUUUAAUCCAAUACUUAAAUCCUUAUUUCAAAAGAAUUCAUGAAUUUUGCCACAAACCGUUACUAUGUCUUAACACGUAGACAAUCUACAAUCCAAUUCAUGACAGACUUAAUUCACUACUUACUUCCAAAGUAUGAUCGACUGUGGAUUUUUGAAUAAUCCAAUUAUUUGAGAAGUAAAACAUGCGAAAGAAACACAAAGUUAAACAAUUGACAAAAGAUAAUAAAUGAUAAUCAUAAAUAAAUCUGUAUUAUUUAAUCAUCAAAUGUCAAUUACAUUUAUUUAUUACGAGUUUCUAAAUAACUAUCUAAUCACUAAAACUAAUAUCAUCCUUCAGACCAAUGCUCCUUACAUCCUGAACUUGCUUAAUCCUACUUAGAACCUUUGUGAGGGGAUCUACAAGAUUCUCCUCUGAUGAUACCCUCUUAAGAAUAAGGCUUCCUUCUUCUACACGAUGUCUGAUAAAGUGAUAUUUUCUGUCGAUAUAUCUUGAUCUACCUUGAUCUCUUGGUUCCUUGGUCAAGGCAACCGCUCCUUCUUCAUCGCAGAAAAUUUCCAUCGGCUCCUUAAUGGCUGGCACUACUCCAAGAUCUCCAAUGAAGUUUUUCAACCAUAUAGCCUCCUUCGAUGCUUCACUCGCGGAAAUAUACUCUGACUCAUAAGUAGAAUCAGCCACGGUCUCCUGCUUGGAACUUUUCCAAGUCACUACUCCUCCAUUAAGGGUAAACACCCAACAUGACUGAGAAUAGAAGUUGUCUAUGUCUGUCUAAAAGUUGGCAUCACUAUACCUAGUAACUCUUAAGUCAUUACUACCACCAAGCACAAGGACCUAGUCCUUAUUUCAUCGUAGAUACUUAAGUAUGUUCUUAACUUCCAUCCAAUGAGCUUUGCCCGAAUUUCCUUGAUAUCGACUAACCCUGCUCAAAGCAAAAGCCACGUCAGGAUGAGUAUAUUUCAUAACAUACAUGAUCGAUCCAACGGUCGAAGUAUAUGGGACUCGACUCAUUUAUGCUAUCUCAACAUCGGUAGUUGGAUUCUGAUUCUUACUCAGCUUGGUAUUACUUUGGAUAGGUAACUCCCCUUUCUUUGAAUUUUCCAUUCUAAAACGCUUUAGAACCUUAUCCAAAUACGAACUUUGACUUAGUCCAGUUAAUCUUCUACGCCUAUUUCUUAAAAUCCUUAUUCCUGUAAUAUAAGCAUACUCUCCCAGAUCCAUCAUAGCGAAACACUUUCCAAGCCAGGACUUAACUUCUUGCAAGGUUGGAAUGUCAUUUCCUAUAAGUAGUAUGUCAUCAACAUACAGUACCAGGAAGGUGAUUAUACUCCUACUAGCUUUUACAUACACACAAGACUCAUCCUCACUUCUAGAGAAACCAAACUCUUUGACUUUCUCAUAAAAGCAAAGAUUCCACCUGCGAGAAGCUUGUUUCAUUCCAUAGAUUGAUUUCUCAAUCUAACACACUCUAUUGGGGUAUUCAACAUCUAUAAAACCCUCUGGCUGACUCAUUUAAACAUCCUAAGCCAACUUUCAAUAAAUAAAGCGGUUUUGACAUCCAUCUGCCAAAUUUCAUAGUCAUGAAAUGCAACUAUGGCUAACAUUACCCUAAUAGAUUUGAUCGUAACCACCGGUCAGAAGGUAUGGGGUUUAAGUAAAGCUCUUCGCAACCAAUCGGACCUUGAAGGUGUGCACCUUUCCUUCCAUGUCGAUCUUCUUCUUGAAGAUCCAUUUGCACCCAAUUGUCUUUCGACGUGGUACAUUGUCAACCAAGUUCCAAACUUGAUUGUCAUACAUAGACUGGAUCUCACUGUCCUUUACCACUUUCCAUUUAGCAGACUAAGGGCCUGCCAUGGAUUCCUGGUAGUUAGGAGGUUUGUCCAAAUUUACCAAUGUACUAUCACUGAUAAACGUAUCACCAUCCGUAGUUAUAUGAAAACCAUAAAAAUCAGGUGUCAUUCUAACUUGAGUGAAAUUUCUAAGAGGUAAUGACUCGUCAAUAGGUUAAACAUGAAUUUCUUCCUUGGUUUGAGUGCUACUGUUAGAGGUUCCUGCAUCACUACACUCUUGAAUUUCCUCAAGAUCAAAUGCACUCCCAUUGUCCUCUUUGCAUAUGAGAUCUCUCUCUCUCUCUCAAAAGACUCCUCUUCUUGCUACAAAUACCACGUCUUCACAAGGUCUGCAGAACAAGUAUCCAAAGGACUUCUGUGGAUAGUCGAUGAAAAUACAUCGCUCACUUCGAGGUUCAAGCUUGUCAUGAGUCUCUCUUCUAACGAAAGUUUCACAACCCCAAACCUUGAUAUGUGCCAACGAGGGAACCUUCCAUGUCCACAUCUCGUGAGGUGUUUUAGCAACCUUCUUUGUGGGAACAAGAUUGUAACAUCCCGUUUUAAGUAGAGUAAUUAAAUAAUAAAUCAGGAACCCUGAGAAGUAAUUAUUAUGAUUAUUUUAUACUAUUAUAGUCCAAAAUCAAUUAGUAAUUAUUGGAAUGUUAGUUUCAGGGGCUAAAGAAUAAUAUUGGACUUAAUUUGAAAGAAUAUUGAAUGACUGGGGUUAAAAGAGUAAAAUUUGGACCUAUGUUGAAAGGAUUUGUUGAGUGAGGGGUUGUUGUGUAAAUUACGGAUUAGAUUUGAAAAAGAUUCUUGAAGCCAGGGUAGAAAUGGUAACAUUUGGAUUAAAUUUGAAAGAAAGGAAGAUGGAGGGGCUAAUCUUGUAAUUAUGGGAAAAUGUCUAUGAGGGGCGGGGUAUUUAAACGUUACCCACCCGAUAACCCUAACCCUAUAUGCCCCAAACCUCCAGCCGCCAACUUCACUAUCCUUAUACCCCCUCUCCAGCCGUCGUUAAUGGUGAACCACUGCAAGCUCGGAUCCAUUGCUGCAUCGCUGACGUCGAAGCCAGAAGCCACCAAGCCAAGAGUCGGUCGCCAUCUUUGCCGCCAGCCACCCCGCUGUCGAGGUCACUGUCACACCCCCAAACCUGAACGGCGGAAUCGUUCGGGGGCGGNNNNNNNNNNNNNNNNNNNNNNNNNNNNNNNNNNNNNNNNNNNNNNNNNNNNNNNNNNNNNNNNNNNNNNNNNNNNNNNNNNNNNNNNNNNNNNNNNNNNCAAGACUCGGUUUAUAAUGCCCGGGAUAACGGGUUGUUACAGUCACAACCCACCGAAUGAACACCAACUGGGGAAAAUUCCGUCGUGUGGAACCGUAUGACCACCAGAGCGCUGUCGUAUCUUACGUUCCAGCCGCCACCUCCUCCUUUGCUUCUUCCCGUAGCUACCGCUGCAAACCACCGUGAGGAACAACCGAAUUCGAGUUUGUUGUCGGGGGUGUGCGUUUGUCACUGUUGUUAGUCUAAGUAAGCGUGUAUGUGUUCGAUUGGCUAGAAAAACCCGAGGAAACCACCAUGGCUGCCGGCCAUGGUGGCUGUUACCUAAAGGACCGCCAUAGCGAUUGUGNCGCCGCCGCCUUACGCCACCAGGUGGGUGGGUGGACACCUUCUUCAAACAGAAGAGACUUGUGUGUGUGCGUGCUUUCAUGAUAGUGAAGUGGUGUUAGGUGUUAGUUGGCCGGAAAAAUCCACUACCACCAUCGUGAGGUGGUGGCUGCCACCAUGAACCACCACCGGCCACCACAAGGGUGGCUUUGUGUGUGUAUUAUAUUAUGUGUGUGUGUGUCGUUUAUAUAAUGUUGUAAAUUUUACUAUAUUUCGUAUAGGAAUAAUGAAAGAAAAGUCUAAACCACCACCGUAGGGUGGUGGUUGCCUUCACCGGCCGCUGUGUCGGGUGGCGGUGUGCUUUGAUUGCGUUUGGACCUCGUUUGGGAUGAUUGGACAAGAAUGCGCCCAAUGAAACCCUAAUAGGCCCAAUAAGGCCCAAUGUGACCUACAAGCCCAACCAAUAGACUAAUGGGCUAGUAUUGGGUUGGAAAACCCUAAUUAGGGUUUAGAAAACCCUAUAAGCAUAAAACACUAAUUGUGGGAAUUGUUUGGGACACACACGAGAAUUAAUUAUUAAACCUAAAAUAAUAAUUAAUAAUCAUUGGCAAACUAGCUUAUGGCAAUAAUGGACUUAAUAGGUUAAGUCCUUAAUGGGUUAAGUAAGAAACACUUAACCCUAAUCAUCAUUUCAUGUGAAAACCCUAAUUUCAUAUAGGCCUUGAAUUAGGCCUUCCUUUUGGGUUUUGGCGAUUGGACUAUUGAUGGGCCAUCCAAGAACAAGUUAAUGGACCAAAGUAAUUAGAUGAGCCUUAGGAUAAGGCCCAUGUGAGGACUUGGGCCCAAAUUGGAAAAAUGGGCCAUAGAUGGGCCAUAAUUGGACCUUUAUGACUAUGUGAUAAUGGGCCAUUGGAAUUGGAUUGGAACAAUCGGAUGGGCCUUAUGGAAAGACCAUGCAGAGGUCUCGUCCCAAUUUCGAAAAUUAGGCCAUAUAUUUGGCUUUGGCCCAUUACUUGACUUUUGGCUCUUGUAGUGUAAGUUCGACCUUAGGCUUGGAACCCAAUUAUUAAUUGGGUAUUGUCUGAUGUUAACAGUACGGGACCUGUCAACCAGCAGUGGGAGUUUUAUCUACGGGGCUUCAGCAGUGCCAGGUGAGUUAUCCUCACUAUAUUAAGGGUCUCAGGCACUAACGCCGGCCCAUUGGAUUGAUAUCCUAGUAGUUGUUAUGAUAAGUAUAUAACGACCCAAUUUUAACGUCCAAAAAUUUCGUUUUUAGAACAUUUCUUUAGUAAACAUUAAUAAUUAAAAACGUUGUUUGAUCAAACCACAUCAAAACAUAAUCAUGUCUAAAAGCCAAAUCAUACAACCAAUCGAAAUAUCAUAGUACAAUCCCAGAAGAUCUAGUAAAUGCGGAACCCAGAGUGUGUGCAUGAUGUGCCGCUACCGCGCCAGCUCCUUCCCCUUCGAUGAAGAGGUACCUGAAACCAAAACUAUAAAACAUAAGCACAAAGCUUAGUGAGUUCCCCCACUGUACCACAAACCAUACAAACACAUAACAUAUAUACUGCCAGGCUAUUCUGGGGUGCCUGACUACCCGGUACGGCCAUUCUGGGGUGCCGACCUACCCGUGUCAACCCAUCCUGGGGUGCNNNNNNNNNNNNNNNNNNNNNNNNNNNNNNNNNNNNNNNNNNNNNNNNNNNNNNNNNNNNNNNNNNNNNNNNNNNNNNNNNNNNNNNNNNNNNNNNNNNNNNNNNNNNNNNNNNNNNNNNNNNNNNNNNNNNNNNNNNNNNNNNNNNNNNNNNNNNNNNNNNNNNNNNNNNNNNNNNNNNNNNNNNNNNNNNNNNNNNNNNNNNNNNNNNNNNNNNNNNNNNNNNNNNNNNNNNNNNNNNNNNNNNNNNNNNNNNNNNNNNNNNNNNNNNNNNNNNNNNNNNNNNNNNNNNNNNNNNNNNNNNNNNNNNNNNNNNNNNNNNNNNNNNNNNNNNNNNNNNNNNNNNNNNNNNNNNNNNNNNNNNNNNNNNNNNNNNNNNNNNNNNNNNNNNNNNNNNNNNNNNNNNNNNNNNNNNNNNNNNNNNNNNNNNNNNNNNNNNNNNNNNNNNNNNNNNNNNNNNNNNNNNNNNNNNNNNNNNNNNNNNNNNNNNNNNNNNNNNNNNNNNNNNNNNNNNNNNNNNNNNNNNNNNNNNNNNNNNNNNNNNNNNNNNNNNNNNNNNNNNNNNNNNNNNNNNNNNNNNNNNNNNNNNNNNNNNNNNNNNNNNNNNNNNNNNNNNNNNGCUCCAACAGGGGAGUCACCACGGUCAUCCUCAUGCAAACGUCCCUGAUCGGCGCCGCCUUGCGGCUAAGCGCAUCGGCCACCACAUUGGCCUUCCCCGGAUGGUAGAGGAUCUCGCAAUCAUAAUCCUUUACCACGUCCAACCACCGACGCUGCCUCAUAUUCAGAUUCGGCUGAUCCAUGAGGUACCUCAAACUCUUGUGGUCCGUGUAGAUGGUACAUCGAACCCCGUAGAGGUAAUGCCGCCAAAUCUUGAGGGUAAAAACCACCGCCCCCAGCUCCAAAUCAUGCGUAGGGUAGUUUGCCUCGUGAGGCUUGAGCUGCCUCGAAGCGUAGGCAAUGACAUGCCCCAUCUGCAUCAGCACCGCGCCCAACCCUGAAAUGGACGCAUCACAAUAAACCAUGAAAUCCUCUACACCCUCUGGCAGGGCUACGAUCGGCGCCUCGCACAAUCUCUGUCUCAGCGUCUCAAAUGCAGCCUGCUGCUCGGGUCUCCAUCGAAAGACCACGGCUUUCUUCAUCAGUCGCGUCAGGGGUACGACUAUCUUGGAGAAAUCCUGAAUAAAUCUCCGAUAGUAGCCCGCUAAUCCCAGGAAACUCCGAAUCUCAGAUGGAGACUUCGGAACCUCCCAUCUCAUCACGGCCUCGACCUUGGCCGGAUCGACCAGAAUCCCGUUCUGGUUGACAAGGUGUCCAAGAAAUUGCACCUCGCGCAACCAAAACUCACACUUGGAGAACUUGGCAUACAAGCUCUCCCUCCUCAGGGUCUCCAACACCUCUCUCAGAUGCUCCUCAUGUUCCUCCCGAGUCUUGGAAUAAACCAAGAUGUCAUCGAUAAAGACUAUCACAGACCGAUCCAGCAUCGGUCUGCAUACGCGGUUCAUGAGGUCCAUGAACGCGGCAGGAGCAUUGGUGAGCCCAAAUGGCAUCACCACAAACUCAUAGUGGACCAGUCCCAAAUGGAAUCACCACAAACCCAUAGCGCGUCCGAAACGCGGUCUUCUGCGUAUCCUCCUCCCUGACCCUCAUCUGAUGAUAACCCGAACGCAAGUCAAUCUUGGAGAACCAAGAUGCUCCCUGAAGCUGGUCAAAGAGGUCAUCAAUCCUCGGGAGUGGGUAACGGUUCUUCACCGUUACCUUGUUCAGCUCCCGGUAAUCUAUACACAUCCGAUGCGACCCNNNNNNNNNNNNNNNNNNNNNNNNNNNNNNNNNNNNNNNNNNNNNNNNNNNNNNNNNNNNNNNNNNNNNNNNNNNNNNNNNNNNNNNNNNNNNNNNNNNNNNNNNNNNNNNNNNNNNNNNNNNNNNNNNNNNNNNNNNNNNNNNNNNNNNNNNNNNNNNNNNNNNNNNNNNNNNNNNNNNNNNNNNNNNNNNNNNNNNNNNNNNNNNNNNNNNNNNNNNNNNNNNNNNNNNNNNNNNNNNNNNNNNNNNNNNNNNNNNNNNNNNNNNNNNNNNNNNNNNNNNNNNNNNNNNNNNNNNNNNNNNNNNNNNNNNNNNNNNNNNNNNNNNNNNNNNNNNNNNNNNNNNNNNNNNNNNNNNNNNNNNNNNNNNNNNNNNNNNNNNNNNNNNNNNNNNNNNNNNNNNNNNNNNNNNNNNNNNNNNNNNNNNNNNNNNNNNNNNNNNNNNNNNNNNNNNNNNNNNNNNNNNNNNNNNNNNNNNNNNNNNNNNGCCGCACCAGGAACAAGGUCAAUCCUGAACUCCACCUGUCGCUCCGGAGGUAUCCCAGGAAGCUCCUCCGGGAAAACAUCUGCAAAAUCUCGAACCACCGGAACCUCGCUCACUGUCGCCUUACCCGCCUCCCGGGUAUCCAUCACAUACGCGACAUAUCCUGUGCAUCCCUGCUGAAGAUAGCGCCUAGCCCUCGCUGCUCAACAUACAGUGGGUCCACACUGCGGCCUCUAGCCAUGAAUCACUAACUCUCCCUCGCUUGGGGUCCUGACCCGCACUAGCUGCUGCGCGCAAUCUAUCACCGCCCCAUUAGGGCUCAACCAAUCCAUGCCAAUAAUCACCUUGUUCCCGUGCAACGCAAUGGGAACCAAGUCUACCAAGUAACGCUCCUCAAACAAACGCAGAACGCAAUUUCGAAACACCAUCGAUGCUCGCACUGAUCGAUCAUCAGCAAUCUCUACCUCUAAAGGGCAAUCCAACUCGACCGAAGUCUCAUGAAACUUCUUGCUAAGUGCAAGAGAAACAAACGAUCGGGAUGCACCCAAAUCGAACAAUACCUGUACUAGAAUGUCGUUCACAUGGAACGAUCCUAAUGCAUACAUAUACAUACGGAGCACAUAUCAAUAUCAUAACAUCAUAAAAUAAAAAAAAUAGAGGGAAAGAAUCAUACCCGUCACCACAUCGGGUGCGGCGCGUGCUCCCUCAGUAGUCAACUGGAAUGCUCGGCUCCUCACCACCGGAGCCUCUGCCUUGCCCUGCCGGCCAUCCGUGAUCCGCAGGGUCGCUGGAGCUGGCGCCUUCACCGGCGCUGAAACUGUCAACUGGGGGCAAUUGGCCUUCUUGUGGCCCCUCUGGUUGCAGUGGAAACACAGCAACUCUGAUGUCUGAAUAACUGCUGCCGGAGCAGUGCAAUCCCUGCUGAUGUGCCCAGACUUGCCGCACUUGUAGCAGCCUGAUGAUCCCAUCCUGCACGCCCCCUCAUGCGGCCUGCCGCAUUUCCUGCAGCGGCUCGGUCCUGACUGGCCUUUCGGCCUACCAUCUGAUCCCUUGGGCUUCUUCCCCGAAGCCCCUCCUGCCUGUCCCUCCUCUAAUUUCCGUUUCCGGAUGUGCUCCAAAUCUAUCUCCCUCUCCCUCGCCCUGGCAAUCAUAGAGUCCAAGGUAGGGCAAGCCGAAAAGCUAACAUGCUCCCGGAUGUCAGCUCGUAGCAUAUCAUGAUAACGAGUCCUCCUCAUGUCCUCGUCACCAGCAUACUGGGGCACCAACAAAGCCCUCUCCCGGAACUUGGCGGUGAUCUCCGCCACAGUCUCCGUCGUCUGUCUCAUGUCUAGAAACUCCCUGGCCAGCUGCUGAAGCUCGACAGCCGGCGCAAACUCUGCCCUGAACCUGGUCACAAAGUCCGACCAGGUCAUAGCCUCGAUAGCUGAGGCUCCCAACGAGUCACCCACUGACUCCCACCAAUCCCGGGCUCGGUCCCGUAAACACCCUGCUGCAUACCUCACCUUCGACCCCUCGGGGCAGAAGCUAGUCAACUGUGCAGACUCGAUGUCUGCAAUCCAUCGCCUGGCAGCAAUGGGGUCUUUCACCCCAUGGAAAUCCGGCGCACCACUGCCCCUGAAGUCCUUGAAGGACAGUGUGCGAGAUCCUGACUGGCUAGAUGCCAUAUCACUCCUGAAUGCCCGAAGGCGAUCCUCCAUCAACUCCAUGAUCCCUUCCUUGAUCGACCCAAAGAGAAUGGGGGUCGACUCAAGGAUGCCUCUGGUGAUCUCUGACGCGAUGAACUCGCGUAGUCCCUCAUCAACCGGCUCGGAACCUGAUCCCGAACCUGACCCCUCUCCUGAACCGCCAUCUACCGGCCUCGAUCGAAGUACCACCAUUCUGCAAUACAUCACAACAAUCAUUAGAGAUACUGAUACUUCCUGAGGGAUCACAACUACUUACAAGUUCCCUGGUCUUGUCUUGGCCUUCCUUGGUUCGGGUACGGAUCCUCUGCUUUCAGUAGUAUGGGCCCAUACUACCUUCCACAUCUAUCCGUACCUUCUUCAAGGACUGCCUCGACUCCACCAGGUCCCUUUCACUAAGGUUGAUCACUACUAUACCCAUCCCAGGCUCGCCCUGGGGAAAUCUCCGGCUCUACUUGAUCCAGUCCUCAGCUGCUGCAGGCCUCCUUGUAAUGCCAGUUAGCCAUUACCCGAAUACCAUCACACGUGACGAGGCUCAGAUAAUCCUUCGAGUACCCGACUCAUCCCUACAACGGUUGGACUCAAACAAGAGCUGCGCAGUAGGAUCAAAUCCGGUACUCUAAGAUUAUUCAACCCUGAUCACAUGUGACGUGACGUAUUCGCCUAAUGACUAAUUCCCAUUAUUCGGAGUCUCACAUAGCACGAAGCAAGCAGCAUUCAGACAAGGGUAACAAUCUCAAUCGACUCUGUCUGCUUACAGAAACUGCACUAGCAUAAAGUGCUAAGCUCCUACUAUCAGGCAUAACCUAGUCAGGCUAUCCGCUGUCUACUCAAUAACUAGCAUGCAAUUUUCAUUCAACCGGAACAUAUAAAGCAGGCACAUAAGGCAUCACUCCUAGAUCCUUAGUCCUAUUCUAGCAUGCUGUUCUACAAAAGCUGAUAAACAUAACAUAAACUUGUAUGGGUACUUUGGGGAAUACUUACUUGAGCUCGGCCGGUCGCGCACAUCACACACUUCGUUCUUUCUUAAACUCUUUUCUCAAUUUUAGAAAACAUUUUCUUUUAGAAAUCUUUUAAUCCCUCGAUUUGAGUUCAGACACCUACGAAGGUGAGUCCGAAUCCCUCAAACCAGGGCUCUGAUACCAACUUGUAACGACCCAAUUUUAACGUCCAAAAAUUUCGUUUUUAAAACAAUUCUUUAGUAAACAUUAAUAAUUAAAAACGUUGUUUGAUCAAACCAUAUCACGACAUAAUCAUGUCUAAAAGCCAAAUCAUACAACCAAUCGAAAUAUCAGACUACAAUCCCAGAAGAUCUAGUAAAUGCGGAAACCAGAGUGUGUGCAUGAUGUGCCGCUACCGCGCCAGCUCCUUCCCUUUCGAUGAAGAGGUACCUGAAACCAAAACUAUAAAACGUAAUCACAAAGCUUAGUGAGUUCCCCCACUGUACCACAUAACAUACAUACUGCCAGGCUAUUCUGGGGUGCCUGACUACCCGGUACGGCCAUUCUGGGGUGCCGUCCUACCCGUGUCAAGCCAUUCUGGGGUGCUGACUACCCAUGUCAAGCCAUUCUGGGGUGCUGACUACCCAUCGGUCCUAACAACCGAUCCUCGGGGACUAGUCCCCUCCUACUACCUCUAUCGCAUAUAACAUAACAAGCCAGCAUGCAAACAUAUCAUCACGUACUGUCAGACAUUUCUGGGGUGUCUGAACUACCCUUCGGUCCUAUCAACCGAUCUCUACUUCUAUCUCAUAUAACAUAUCAUGCUAGCAUAUAACAUAUCAGGUAGUAGCAAACCUAGAUGAUAUCACAAAGACAAUCAUCUAACAUACAACUCCUACUGGUGGGCCGGCAUUGUGGCCGUAGACCCACCGCUACUGGAAGGUAACUCACCUCGAAGUAGCUGCUGAUCUGAUCGGGAACUGACUGUCUACUGCUACUGCUGCUGCUCCGGAAAUCCUCCGGCUGCAAUUCCCACAACAUACUCAAUCAAACACUGCUAACUGUCCUUUGGGUAAAAUGACCAUUUUACCCCUGAUCAUGCCCUAAGUCAAAGUCAGAGUCAACUUUCAGUUGACCCGACUCGCCGAGUUGGCUUUCCAACUCGCCGAGUCCCUACCCAAACGAUUGUCCUGAAUCCCGUUUCUACUCGUCGAGUUAGGCGACGACUCGACGAGUUCUCCUUCUAAACUGAUAUUCAAGUCCUUCAUCCUACUCGCCGAGUUGUAUGAACAACUCGUCGAGUUCAUCUUCAUCCGAUGAACACUUAUGCUAAGACUCGCCGAGUUGUAUGAACAACUCGCCGAGUCUGUUCUUGAUCUAAGGAGAUUGCCUUGAACUCGCCGAGUCAGGGCAUUGACUCGCCGAGUACCUCCAUAGAUGAGUUCAGCUUCCGACUCACUGAGUCACACCCCGUGACUCACUGCACACUCGACACUACGAAAAGGGGACAAACUCGGAGACUCGCGAGCAGACUCGCCGAGUCACAUGAACGACUCGCCGAGUCGUUGCCAUGCACCCACUAAAUACACAGAUUUGCUCGAUUCCAGUCCAUGCCAUUCACAGAUCUGGACUCCUAGAACACGAAUCACACGUAAAGUUUCCAACUUUACGUGUAGAUAUUCACCCUUAAGGGUUUUAGGGUUCAAAAUGUACCCAAGAGGGUAGAUCUAGGGUCUUCAUGCAAUGGGGGUCCAUAAAGGCAACAUAUCUGAGCUCCUGGAGCUCAACCAUGCCUAGAUCUAAGGGCCAAUCAACCUAUUACAAAAUAAUUUGCACAUACAAACUUGGGGAUUGGCUCAAGAAUGACUUAAAUGAAGUAAUAAGCAUAAAAACAGGGGAAAACGGAUCAUACCUCAAAGGAACUGCUGAAGGAGUACAAAGAUGCCUGGAUUCCUUCCCUUCCUCUAAAUCUACUUCCCCUUUUGCCUCAAAACCUUCAAGAACACACAACAAUUGCCUCAAACUCUCAAUGAACAAGCUUAGAACGAGGGUUGGGAGCUCUGGGGGUGAAUGGGGGCUGGCCUGGGGCGGAUAUGUUGUUUAAAUAGGGUGCAAACCCCUGAAACUUAGGGUUUCAUCCAACAGCGGUGACUCGCCGAGUCCAGAAUAUGGACUCGCCGAGUCGCCAACUUAAACAUGUCCCGGGUCUCGACCUUACUCGGUGAGUCGGACCUAUGACUCGCCGAGUCCAAGGCAAAAGAAGGAGAAUACUCAAAUAAGAUUUACGUACCAGGAACCAGGUGCUACAAAGUAGGUGUUAGAUAUGCAUGCUGGUUGGAUAUGCGAGUUUGGUAGGCUUGUAGGACUACCUGUGGUAUUAUUGAUUAUUGGUAUGUGCAUUUAUCUGUUACAUGUUGACAUUUUAUGUGGGAUGGGUCGAGGUUGUAAUGCUCCUUGUGGUAGCCAACAAACCCUAGGAGCAUUCCAGAUACGAGUUGUGGGCCCGGUAGGCAAUCCAGACUCGUACCGUGGGCUCCGGGGCAUUCCAGAUACGACUUGUGGGCCCGAUAGGCAAUCCAGACUCAUAUUAUGGGCCUAGGGAUAAUCCUGUUGGAUAAGGUGUCUAAGUCCAUAACUAUAUUUGGUAUGUACUUGACCCGACCCGGCAUAGUCCAUUUAGGUUGCAUGGCAUCAUGCAUUUGGAUAGACUAAAUGAGAGAAAUAACACUUGUGGUUUAUUAAUAUAUUAUAAGUUCUAAUAUAUUAAUAGUAUUAUUUAUUAGUAUUGAUCAAGAAUUAAUUUGGAAUUAAUUAAGUGAUCAAAAGAUGACUAAUUAAAUAUAUGGGUUGAUUUUGUAAAUCAUACAUAACUUAUAUAGUGGGCUAAAAGGCUCCAUGGAUUAUCAAGUUGGGUUAAACUCAUAGAACGCUCCAUGGAUGCUCCAUGGGAGUUCAAACCCAUGGGUCAUGGAAAUGAAGAGUCAUGACACAUUAGGGUUUANCAUGGUGUACCUAGAUGUGACACACUAUAUAAGGAACAUGAUACUCACAAAAUCGUGUACAUACUAAGAACAAGAGAGGGCAAGCCGAUUUUACAAGUGUUAGACAUUCUCUCAAAGUUAUUCCAAAGCAUUUGGUGUUGUGUGAAUCAUUUGAGGCAUCACACUUGGGGUGCUAUGCUCUCAAGGUUUUCAAGGAAUCAAAUCAACUACAAGGUAUGUAAUUCUAGCCAUCUUUUAGUUUAAAAGUUCUCAUGUAGGCUAGAUAGGAUUAUGAACCUUGGAAAUCAUAUUUUACAUGUAUUUUAGACAAACGUAGAUCCAAGGUUUUCUAGGGUUACUUGUACUCUUAGGAGUGUUCGAAUGUUCAAAACCCAUCAGUGGUAUCAGAGCUUAGGCUUGUUUGUUAAAUACUUGAUGCAAACUUGUUUUUCAAAAGCCGAAAAUUGUCCAGACAAGAAAACUCGGUGAGUUCUGGCUAAAAACUCGCCAAGUUUAUGUGUUAUUGCAUGAACUCGACGAGUUUGUCAUCCAGUGAGCAGUUUUUGGAGCUUUUCUGCUGGAAAUGGACUAGAAACAUUACCCUAAACUGUUUUAGUGUUAUAAAACUUGUUUUAGAUUCUUUAAUGGUUAUGCUAAUCCAUUUUCAAUAGCAAUUAUCAAAAUUUCAAGUUUCAUAUGGUUAAUUUUAUGAUUCUUGAAAUUGUAGAUAUGCAUGUUCAUGAACUUAUGAGUUUAGAAGAUCAUAGGAAUUAUUUGUAACUUGCAUGUUAGUUUAAUUCUUGAUCAUUAUGUGUUUUAAUGGAAUCCAUAAUUUGUCCUCAAGUUAUGGAUUACCAAAAGUCACACUUUUAAAGUCCAUUAUUAAACACAUAGGUUACAUAAAAUGUAAAGUGUCUCAUUUUAUUAAUCCAUUAACUCAUAAGUUAUUAGAGAUGAAAAAUUUUGAAAGUUACAAAACUUUCCCUCAAGUUUUGGAACAUGUAAAGUCAUUUUAAAAACUUUAAGUUCCAACCCCUAGAAAAUUAAAAAGUUAAAAAUUCAACCCUUAUACAUUAUAAUAUUACAAGUUUAAUAAUUAUUAUAUAUGUAUAAGAACAAAGUCAUUUUACCAUUAGUAGGCCUCAUUCACGUGGCCGGUCUAUAAGGGGGUAUAAGGUUGCUGCCUAUAAAAUGGCAGCUUAAUGGGUGUCCACUCUCACCCACCACUUCCUUGAUCAGUGGAGGAUCGUUAGCUGAACGGGUAGGACAAGGACUUAUAAAUUCUCAUUAAAAGUAUGAUGAAUAUUAUAAAGUAACUAAAUGUUUUAUUAAUUUCCCAAUCUUAGUUACUUUAGGAAAAUGUGAAUAAGGUGCUAAUCCAUGAAAUUACACUUUACACUUUGUUUAAUUCAUUAGUGGAGCGUGUGUGGUUAACCGGCACACUAACUUGAACUUAACAAGGUAGGUAAAGGGUAACUUAAGGUUUAUUAUAGGUCGGUGGAGCGCUUGUGGUUAACCGGCACAUCGAUUGAAUGAUAAACUUUAAGGGUACCAAGUAAUUUGCAUGGUUACUUCACACCUCGUUUUGUGAUCCUCGGUAUCCCAGUCACAAAACUUGGGGGGGACACUCGACAUUGAAACAUGCCUUUGAAAAGUUCAUUGAAUCUCAAAAAGAAUCUAGGAAUUUCUAAGAUCCAAUUAAAACCUAAUAACUUAUAUUUCGGUUUUUGGUGGAAAUUGGUGAAUCGUCAUUCACCAACCUUUCAAAUAUGUUAUAGCUUAGAUUACGACAUACUUCUUCUAAGUUAUGAUAUAUUCUGAUUGGAUCCUAACCUUAAUAUUACAUUUGGGUGUUUUAUUAAGGACUAUCUUUAUAUCUAAACUAAACUUGUUCUCUUCUUUUUUAGAUGUCUUCCAACAACACUGCUUCUGGCUCAAACCCUACUGGCUCCUUGUCCCUCAUGAACAUAUAUGGGAGGGUCAUCUUCGAUGGUUCCAACUUUAUGGAUUGGAUCUGGAACAUCGGGAUAGUAACUCGCUAUGAGGACAAGGAAUAUGUCCUCGAUAAGGAGCUAAAGGAGAUCGAUGAGUCCACUGCUACUCCCCAGGCGAUCGCUGACUUCCGGACUCAUGAAAAAGAUGCCACCAAAGUGGCAUGCAUCAUGAUGGCCACCAUGAUAGUUGAACUCCAGAAGUCCUAUGAGGACUACUACCCUUUUGAGAUGCACCAAUAAAUGAUGGAAAUAUACCAUGAGGAAUAGGAAAGCUUCACCUGUCACCAAGAUUGGAGUUUAUUCAUUGUUGCUAAGUAGUGGGUUUACUUUAGAUUUGAAUAAAUGUUGUUAUUCGCCAGAAAUGGCAAGAAAUAUUAUUUCCUUUCAUGCUUUGUACAAACAAGGCUUUACCUUUUCUUUUGAUAAUGAAAUUGGUGGAAUAAAUGCUUUCUUUAAUAAUGUUCUUUAUUUUAAAGCAUUACCUUGUGAUCGUGUAUAUGAAGUUGUAUCUGUUGUAGAUAAUCUAGGAAAUAAUGUGUUGUGUAUUGAUUCUUAUGAUAAUAAUAACUUGGAUAAAGCAUAAUUAUGGCAUUGUCGUCUUGGACAUGUGAGCAAGAAACGCAUAGGCCAACUACAAAAGGAUGGAGUCUUGGAGCCAUUUGACCUAAAGUCAGAUGAUAGUUGGGAACCAUGCUUACUUGGAAAAAUAACAAAGUCACCCUUCACUGGUUCUUGUGCUAGGGGUGAAGGUUUGUUGGAUCUAGUGCACACGGAUAUAUGUGGACCCUUCAAAUCUGCCGCAAGGGAUGCUAAUCGUUAUUAUUUAAAUUUUACUGAUGAUUAUAGUAGAUAUGGAUAUGUCUAUUUAAUCAAGCAUAAGUCAGAGACUUUUGAAAGGUUUAAUGAGUUUAAACAAGAAGUCGAGAAUCAAUUGGGCAGGAACAUUAAGAUGCUUCGAUCCGAUCAUGGUGGUGAGUGUCUUAGUACAGAGUUCUUCGACUAUCUUAAGGAAUGUGGGAUUAUCUCACAAUUGACACCUCCCAGGACACCAUAGUUGAAUGGUGUGGCUGAGAGGCGUAAUCGAACCUUGUUAGAUAUGGUUCAUUCCAUGAUGAGUCGAGCUUCUCUACCAAUCUCAUUUUGGGGGUAUGCCUUAGAAACUGCCGCCCAUAUCCUUAAUAUGGUCUCUACAAAGAAAGUUGCCAAAACUCCUCAUGAGAUGUGGACUGGUAAAGUUCCCAAACUAAACCACAUCAAUAUUUGGGGUUACGAGGCUUUCGUGAGGUGUCGAGACUCAUGAUAAGCUCGAACCUCAAAGUGAGAGGUGUAUUUCCAUCGGCUACCCACAGAAAUCCUUUGGUUACCUCUUCUACGGACCUAGUGACAACGUGGUCUUUGUAGCAAGCAGGGGUGUCUUGAGAGAGAGAGAGAGAGAGAGAGUUCAUAAGACAAGGAAAUAGUGGGAGGCAAAUUGACCUUGAAGAAAUUCAAGAGUCAAGUGGUGAAGGAACUUCAAAUCCUAGCACUCAACCUGAGGAGGAAACUCCUGUUGAGCCAAUUGACUAGUCUGUACCUCUAAGGCGUUCCACAAGGGUUAGGAAUGCACCUGAGCACUACUAUGGUUUCCAUAUUACUACGGAAGGUGAGACACUUAUCAGUGAAGAGACAUUGGUAAGUAUAGAUGAACCUAACAGUUACGCAGAAGCCAUGGCAGGCCCCGAGUCUGCCAAAUGGAAAGAGGCAAUGGACAGAGAGAUACAGUCCAUGUAUGACAAUCAAGUUUGGAACUUGGUUGACAAUGUUGGGUGCAAAUGGAUCUUCAAGAAGAAGAUCGACAUGGAUGGUAAUGUACACAGAUAUAAGGCGUGACUGGUUGGAAAGGGCUUUUCUCAAACUUCGGGAGUUGAUUAUGAUGAGACCUUUUCACCAGUUGCAAAGAUUAAGUCCAUUAGGGUUCUGUUAGCCAUAGCUGCAUUUCAUGAUUAUGAGAUAUGACAAAUAGAUGUCAAACCGCCUUCCUUAAUGGAAGUUUGGCUGAAGAUGUUUACAUGAGUCAGCCAGAGGGUUUUGUUAGUACAGAAUACCCUAAUAGAGUGUGUAAGCUUGAGAAAUCCAUUUAUGGAUUGAAACAGGCACCUCGGAGAUGGAAUCUUUGCUUUGAUGAGAAAGUCAAAGAAGUUUGCUUUUCAAAGAGUGAAGAUGAAUCUUGUGUCUAUGUCAAGGCUAGUCGGAGUAUAGUCAGCUUUUUGGUACUGUAUGUGGAUGACAUACAACUCAUAGGAAAUGACAUCCCAACCCUGUAGGAAGUGAAAUAUUGGCUUGGGAAGUGUUUCUCUAUGAAAGACCUAGGGGAAGCCGCCUAUAUUCUAGGGAUAAGGAUUCUAAGAGACCGGAGUAAAAGACUGAUUGGACUUAGUCAAAGUACCUACUUGGAUAAGGUGCCGAAGAGGUUCAGCAUGCAGGACUCCAAGAAAGGAGAGUUACCCAUCCAGAGUAACACUAGACUGAGUAAAACUCAGAGCCCGAGUAUUGAGGCUGAGAUAGCAGAAAUGAGUCGAGUACCUUAUGCUUCUGUAGAAGGUUCAAUCAUGUAUGUUAUGACCUGCACUCGACCUGAUGUAGCCUUUGCUUUGAGCAUGGUUAGCAGAUAUCAGGGGAACCUUGGCAAGGCUCACUGGACUGCGGUAAAUAAUAUCCUCAAGUACCUACGGAGGACUAAGGACUGGGUCCUUACCCUCGGUGGGAGUGACGACUUCAUAGUUGUAGGGUAUACUGAUGCUAGUUUUCAGACCAAUAGGGAUAAUUUCCGCACUCAGUCAGGCUGGGUCUUUACCUUAAAUGGAGGAGCAAUUACUUGGAAGAGUUCCAAGCAUGAGACAAUGGAUGAUUCAACUUGCGAAUCAGAGUAUAUAGCAGCAAGCGAGGCAGCAAAGGAGGCGAUAUGGCUGAAGAACUUCAUUGGAGACCUUGGAGUUGUACCAGCUAUAAAAGAGCCGAUGGAAAUUUUCUAUGAUAGUGAAAGUGUAGUUUCCUUAGCCAAGGAACCAAGGGAUCAUGGGAGAUCCAGACACAUCGACAGAAAAUAUCAUUUCAUUAUACAUUGAAUAGAAGAAGGACUCCUUGUGUCUAAGAGGGUAUCAUCAGAUGAGAACCCAUCAGAUCCCCUCACGAAUGGACUAGGUAGGGUUAAGCAUCUUCAGCAUGCGAGGCACAUUGGGCUAAAGGAUGAUAUUAGUUUUAGAAAUUAGAUAGCUUUUGAAAUUUGUAAAGUGUAAUUGACAUUUGAUGAUGAAUAAAAGGUGUUUUAUUUAUGAGUAAAGUGUUGCUAUCUCUUGUCAAUCGUUUACUAUAUUUCUUUUGCAUGUUUUGAUUUCCAGAAUAAUUAUGUUUGGUAUAUCAUAUUAUUCGAAUCUCCAUAGUCGAUCAUAUGUUGGAAGUAGGUAUGAAUCAAGAAUGUCAUGAGAUGGUUGCAGAGGUCUAAGUUGUUGGAAAUGGUUACAACACUCAUGAGUGCUCACAAGUUCUGAGCAUUGGAUUCAACCCACGCUCACUAAUAUCACUUCAUGGAAUUUAUCUCGAGUGAUCGUGAGACAGUAAUAUCAUAUAAGUCUUCAAACCUAGAGAUAUGACUUGUUGCCUAUGAGUUAGUUAUGCAUUGAUCGUACGAAACCACAUUGGUAACUCGAUGUUAUAAAACGUACUUUUGUGUGUAAUUCAAUGAGUGGUAGAACAAACAUAUGAGUCGAAGUUUAUCUGUUCCUUCUUGGAUUAGAAGCUGAUAUCUGGGCCCCUCGAUGAUUUUGUUUUGACCCAUGUACCGGGCCCGGUCAGAACUAAGUUGAUGUGUUCAAUUAAGUUCUAUGUCAAACAAAUCGGAAAUCGGGAAACAAAUNUUGUUCCAUGUAUUUGUUCGGCUGAUAUCUAGAACAGAGGAUUAUAUGAUUAAUUAUCUUAAAUGGCACAUCAUCAUCUUCUUAGUUCCGAGAGACCUUGAAAGAGCUACGAUUGCUGAUCGGUUCCUGAAGUCAUACUUACAGAUAUAGUU